GGGCUUGUGGUUUAGUGGUAUAAUACUCCCUUAGCAUCUCUAGCAUCUUCUUCUCUAUCUUGAAGAAGAAGAGAAAGGCAAACUUGGGAGUGGUCCGGGGUUCGAUUCCCCGCGAGUCCA